rnacentral:lncRNA from 1 species
AGCUACUUGUUCCCGGCAACUCUGACGCAUUUCAUUGAAGAGCUACAAUAAAAAAAAUUCCAAACAAAAGUGUAACACACUCUAGCAAAGUCAACAUUCAAAGGCCAUGAAUUGCUAUGAAAAUUAAUACCAGGGGCAUCAACUUUCACCGAUAUUCUUAACUGGUGUUAUAAGUAAUCGUAAAGCCAUCUUACCGUUUUAACCCCUAUACAACAAUUAGUAUGAGACAUUUUUCGCCAUUUAAGGAAAUCAAAUUCUGAUUGAAGUGAUAGUUUAGGAUAAUUCAACUUAAUUUAAGAGGGCAACAUACUGCACAUAAGCCGCUGGAAUAUUGCAAAUGUCCACUUUAUCCUCCCCUUUUCACAAGAAGUUUUAUAUAAGUUUUGAUGCGCUAAUAUUUAGAGGUAGUUUUACGUGUUAGGACAACUUGAAAGUUAAAUGAAAUAAACUCAAUAAGUUGAAAAUCAAGUCAUAAUUAAAGGGUUACAUAUGAAAUUGUGCCCCAACACGAAAGUAAAGAAAGACAAUUAAUAUUUAAAAUAUAUUGUAACACGUUUAUAUGUGUAUAUUGAUAUCUUUUUCGACCUUUUGAAUAACAUCAAGUGUACGGGUAUUUAAUAUUUAUAGGGACAAGGAACAUAACAUCUGAGAUAAAAUCUUAGCCAACUCAAAAAGAUAUAGACAUGGGACCAUCUUAAAGGCUUUUAAAGAACUUCUUGAACAAUUCCUUGCAACUCAUGCUCCUUCUCUUAAAAUUUAGCUAUUGAGUAAUGCCCUUCUGACCUGCCAAUAUUUAUAAUGUUCAAUAUUAUAGUAGACUCUGUUGAUGGAUCUAAAACUUUCACUCUUUAUAGCAUCAGCAGGGGAAAAAAUAACAACAGAAAAAGAUAAGAAAAGAGAAAUCUUGAUGACUCUGGAAUUAGACAUUAUCAUAAGAAUUCCACCGAUAAAAUCCUUUGAGUGGUGUAUAUUUGAAGAAUUCCCAUAUUGAAGAGUUGCUAGUUGUGCAUAUAAAUCUUAUGGAGGCAACUUUUCACCUACACCAAGGAAAUAGAGUAGAAGAAUAUAAUACCUCAAGAUAAAUGAACCAUUGGAAGUUUCUAGAGUGACCUUUUAGGCCCUUAUUCUACACUCCUCCACAACCCUGUUACAAAGCUAUAAAUAAUCAUAAUAGAAGAGGGAAUAGUGAAUUAUUCAACACGGUAACAACAAAUAAGUGAAGUGUAUCACCAAAUAAGUUAAUCACAAAUUUAAGAAGAGCAGUUAAAAUCAGAAAGCACAAAUGGGUAAGAUUACCUUUGGUCACAAUUGUUGAAGGAGAAAACCCAGACUUGAUCGUAGAGAGCGUUUGUUAAAACCUGGAAAAGACGCUUCAAGCACUGAAUUAGCCAAUAAGUGCAUGUAUUAAUCAAAUCAGUUAGACAAACUUGAACAACAAAGUUGCAUUAGAAAGCUAAAAUAUUAACAAAAUAAUUAUCGACAACAUCUAACUUCCUUCAGUGCUUUAUAAAGCUAAAAUAUUAACAAAGUUGCGGAACAAUGGGAGCAAAAAAGGACAAUUAGAUGGAACUCUCAAAUGGAAAAGGAAAAAGGAUAAAUUAGGAGAAUAAAAAGCAGUAGGGGGAGAUAAAAGGGAUUACCAAUUUCUUUUUAGUUCUUGUACUCUAUUGUAGAUUCAACUUAGAAUGUUGUUUCUAUGCUAAUUUUGCACUGUUAUAAUUACGAGAUAGGUAAUAAAAAAAAAGCAGUUCUUUAGCAAUGGAGGAGAGGAAACUGAUAUCAUCGGUUUCAAUUGUGGGUGAGAGAGA